rnacentral:misc_RNA from 1 species
AAGACUAUAGACCUGCGGAGUACCUGCGGAGGGAUCAUCACUGAUUCGAGGGGAGAGUGUGUGCGAGCGUUCACACGCGCGCCGCGCCACCCCAACCAAUCUUUUGUGCACGGUUUCACGGUCAACGAGAGAGACGCCGCGCGUGUGUUGGCAAGUCAAGUCCCCCCCCGCUUCCCCCCAGUGUGGGGGGCGGUGUGGUGUGGUGACUUCUUGCCAACCGCAUGCGUCUGUGCGCGCGUU